GACCGAGGUCAAUGUUAUCUGCCGAAGCGAAGCUGAGGCGGAUAACAUAGACCGAGGCCUGAAUAGUUCUUGAUAUCAUGCGAAAGCCGAAUCCAAUAAUUGUUUUAUUAUACAUUUAAAGACAUGAGAAACGUAUAAAACGAUUCCUGUUCAUGAGGUAGGAAAAGUACAAUUCAAAUAUCAAACACCUUGCACAAAAUCAAAG